rnacentral:lncRNA from 1 species
UAGAAGCAGGACCAGGUAGGAUAACAUUACAUUUGGCCUUGACUGAGGGUUGAGGUAAUGAGAGGCAAACUUGAAGGAAUUGCUAGAACUGGUCCUGGUUGGAGGGGAGGGAAAAAUUUGCCUGGUAUUGGGAGCUGGGCUGGGGAUAGGGUUCAUUAUCUGAGGUAGAGAAUCUUGGAGGAAGAGCAGGUUUGAGGCAGGAUGAUACAGUGAACUUUUCAUUUUCUUAUGUAUUCUGAUGAGCAGAAGUUUUUAAU